AUGGCGUCGCCGUCGUGUGCCUCCACGCUGCCCUGGACCGCCGCCGCCUUCUCCUACCCGCGCCGCCUCCAGACGCGACGCGCCCCGUCGCUCGUCAUCGUCGCGCAGGGCAGGGUCAAGAAGUACCGCCAGGUCAUACUCAAGGACGACAUCGAUGAGAUUAGCGGCAAGAAGGGGGACACGAUGAAGGUCCGGGCCGGGUUCUACCGCAACUUCCUGCUCCCCAAGGGCAAGGCCACGCUGCUCACCCCCGACGUCCUCAAGGAAAUGCAACUGGAGCAGGAGAGAAUCGAGGCUGAGAAGAAGAGGGUAAAAGAAGAGGCACAGCAACUCGCGCGAGUCUUCGAAACCAUUGGGGCGUUCAAGGUGCCACGUAAAGGUGGCAAAGGAAAGCAGAUCUUCGGGAGCGUCACGGCGCAAGAUCUCGUCGACAUCAUCAAGUCGCAGCUUAACAGGGACGUGGACAAGCGGCUGGUGGAGGUCCCGGAGAUCCGCGAGGUCGGGGAGUACGUCGCGGAGAUCAAGCUCCACCCCGACGUCACAGCCAAGGUGAGGCUGACUGUGUAUGCCAAGUGA
rnacentral:rRNA from 1 species